rnacentral:rRNA from 1 species
AACGAACGCUGGCGGCAGGCUUAACACAUGCAAGUCGAACGCCCCGCAAGGGGAGUGGCAGACGGGUGAGUAAAACGUGGGAACGUGCCCUAAGGUUCGGAAUAUUCCCGGGAAACUGGGAGCAAUACCGAAUGUGACCGCAAGGUGAAAGAUUUAUCGCCUUAGGAUCGGCCCGCGUCGGAUUGGCUAGUUGGUGGGGUAAUGGCCUACCAAGGCGACGAUCCGUAGCUGGUCUGAGAGGACGACCAGCCACACUGGGACUGAGACACGGCCCAGAAUCCUACGGAAAGCAGCAGUGGGUAAUCUAGGACAAUAGGAGCAAGCCUGAACAAGCCAUGCCGCGUGAGUGAUGAAGGUCUUAGGGUUGUAAAACUCUUUCGCCGAGGACGAUAAUGACGGUACUCGGAGAAGAAGCUCCGGCUAACUUCGUGCCAGCCGCCGCAGUAAUAC